rnacentral:rRNA from 1 species
AGACGUCUACAUUAGAUACCCGGGUAGUCCCAGCCGUAAACUAUGCGCGUUAGGUGUAUCGGUGACCGCGAGUUACCGAGGUGCCGAAGGGAAACCGUGAAACGUGCCGCCUGGGAAGUACGGUCGCAAGGCUGAAACUUAAAGGAAUUGGCGGGGGAGCACCACAACAGGUGGAGCCUGCGGUUUAAUUGGACUCAACGCCGGGAAGCUCACCGGAUAGGACAGCAGAAUGAUUGCCGGGCUGAAGACCCUGCAUGACUAGCUG